CUCUUCCCCCUAUGUUUACUCAAGAAAACAGAGAGAUGUCUUAGCCAGACACUAGCCGCCCUCGCUUGGUCCCUUCCUUCUCUGUGCUCUGGCAGCUGGUGAUUUCUUCAUUCUCUCCAUCUGUCAAGAGAAUGGUUGAGGCACAUAGUCCCUCAAUUAGAAUGCAAGAGCGGCCACCUCCAUUGCAGUCUGCCUGGCUACCACUCACAGGAAGCUCCGUCUGGGGCUUCUUCAAAGAGUCAUUGUGCAAGCAGGAAGUCAGCAGCCCGUGAAACUAGAAGGAGGAUCAGAGAGCAGACAGAACCACACACAUGGCUUUUAACCGACUAUAUUUGUCUUCUUGACAGAGAGAGGUCAGUGUUUGUUUCUGUUGAUAGCCAUCAGGACCAAGGCAGGGGCUAGUCUUGUGUAAUAGAUUAAAACAUGAUAUCCUAAGGUAUCACUCUGUGAACUUUACUUUAUGUGAAAAAAAGACAGUCUUUACAGAUGUGAUGGAAUUAAAGACCCCCCACACACACACACAUACACACACACACACACACACACGCACGCACGCACGCACGCACGCACGCACGCACGCGACGCGUUGUGACAGGGUUUCAUAGCCCAGGUUGAUCUUAAACUACUGAUUCUCCUACCUCCACUUCCUGAGUGCUGGAAUUAGAGGCAUGUAUGAACAUAGCCAGUUCAUGCUGGAGAUCCCACCCAUGGCUUCACACACACUAGGAAGCACUUUACAAAAUGAGCUAUAGUCUCAGCUCUGAAGUUAAAGAUCUUAAGACAAUUUUUUUCUGCGUUAUCUAGGAGGACUGGCAAUGUAUCGACUAGCUCCUUAUAAGAAGCAAGAAGAGGGGGAUAGAGUAGAUGCACAGCAGAAAUUAGAGUGAUGAGGCCACAAGCUAAAGAAUGCGGGCACCAGAAUCUGCAAAAACAGAAGUGGCUUUCAAGUUAGGCAUGAUGGCUCACCCCUGGAAUCCCACCAUUCAGGAUGCUGAAGCAAGAAGAUCACUGAGUUUGAGGCCAGCCUGGAAGCACAAAAAGGAAACAUAUAGCAACCGAACGCUCAGCCCUGGAAAGUCUCCACAGCAGAUAUUUGGAUUGUGUGCUAACAGACAGCCAGGUGACCUGGAGCGGUUCCUGAUUCUGACAAACUGCUGUGGCAUCACAUGAAUAUAAGCAGCGUGAUUGUGCUUACAGAGGAAAGAGCACAACUUGAGUUCUCUCCUUCCACCAUUGGAUCCUGGGGACUGAACACACAUCAUCAGGCUUGAAUACCCACCUUGCUGAUCCAGUCUCAUAGACCUUUAAGUGGCUGUGAAAUCAAGCAAGAAGAAGAAAAAUGACAAGUGGGUGAGGUCUGACUUUCAAAGUAAAUCCAGAGCAAUCUUACAAACUGUUUUUGAUCACCAUUUGAAUGGUUCAGAGGAACUCCCGUUUUUGGAAGAGCCAAAUGCUGUGCCCAAUUGUUUUAUUUGAUUAAGCUUCAGGACUGUUUUUGUAAAGUGCUAUGGGAUAGACUUGGCAAAUUCAAGCAGUAACUCUGCUCCCCAUGUUAAGGACAACUAAAGAAAGCACUUCUUCUGUUUUUUGCAGUCUUCAAUUUGAGAAUGGUGAGAAAUACUCUUUUAAACACAUGACAUUCAUAUUAUUGGAUGAAAAAGCUAAGCAAAAAUCAUUCAAUCUUGUCUCUCUCUCUAGCCAUAUUAAUUUGAAAAAAAAAAUGUGUUUUUAGAAUUCAAUAAUCACCAUUUCCCUUUCCUUCAGCUCUGAUGUACCACGGAAUGCCAGAGAAUCAAGCAGCAAAGCUGUGGGUAAAAGGCACAGGGACGGCACAUCCAGUGGAUGGAGCAAAGAUUCAGUAGUUCAUCCCAACCCAAAUUUUGAUACUGAGAUUAGAAAGAGGCUUUUUAGAGCUGGCAUAGUUAGAUGGUCAUGGUCAAAUGCCUGCCUAACAUGCUAGAGACCCUGAGUUCCAUUCUCAGUGCUAGAGAUAAGUUUCAGGGUCACAAAGAAAGAGAGCACCACUCCAACUGAAGUAUCUGGACAAGGCAAACUUCACUCUUGAUCAAGAGGAUGUGCUCAGGGGAGUUAACACAGAAACAGGAAGUACACUUGGUUUUUAUGCAAAGGCAGCUGGUAUCUGUGUCAAUUCUUCAUUGGCUGGGAUCUGACCUCACAGUCUUAUUUGAUUGGCUAAUCUGAAAAGAAUUUGUGCACAGGAAAUGAAAGAGGGAGGGGAAAAGGGCGGUUGCUCCGAGGGGAAAAGGGUCACUGUUCCAGGCCACUGAAUUCCUGGAAUGUAGCUGCGAGCUUUUGUGUGAACAAAGGUUUUACUGGAUGUGGAGGGGGGUUAAAACUUUUGCAUAAAAGUCUCAAGAUAUA